rnacentral:rRNA from 1 species
AUGUUUACUGUGGGCUUAGACGUUGAUACGCGUGUCUACUUCACCGCAGCUACCAUGAUCAUAGUUGUGCCCACAGGAAUCAAAAUCUUUAGUUGGAUCGCUACCAUGUGGGGAGGUUCGAUACAAUACAAAACACCCAUGUUAUUUGCUGUAGGGUUCAUCUUUUUGUCCACCAUAGGAGGGCUCACUGGAAUAGUUCUAGCAAACUCUGGGCUAGACAUUGCUCUACAUGAUACUUAUUAUGUGGUUGCACAUUUCCAUUAUGUACUUUCUAUGGGAGCCGUUUUUGCUUUAUUGCUGGAUUUUACUAUUGGGUGGGGAAAAUCUUUGGUCUGA